rnacentral:tRNA from 1 species
CAUUAAGAAGCUUUAACGUAAGCUGGAGUCUCUUAAACUUUAGAUGGUAAAUUAAUCGCCUACCCUUAAUGA